UACAGGGGGUGCAAACGUUGCUCGGAAUCAUUGGGCGUAAAGCGCACGUAGGCGGUUCGUUAUGUCGGAUGUGAAGCCCUUGGCUUAACCGAGGAAGUGCAUCCGAAACUGGCGAGCUAGAGUACGAAAGAGGAUCGCGGAAUUCCCGGUGUAGAGGUGAAAUUCGUAGAUAUCGGGAGGAACACCAGAGCGAAGGCGGCACUCUGGGCCGGUACUGACGCUGAGGAGCGAAACGUGGGAGCGAAGAGG
rnacentral:rRNA from 1 species